AGCUUUUCGAAUCCGUGCUGAGAUUUCGUCAGACACCAACCCAUUUGGGCUGAUCGGAAUUUCACGAUAAGUGAAAUU
rnacentral:pre_miRNA from 1 species